rnacentral:tRNA from 1 species
UCCCUGGUGGUUCAGAUGGUAAAGAAUCUGCCUGCAAUGCAGAAGACCUGGGUUCGAUCCCUGGGUUGGGAA